rnacentral:rRNA from 1 species
UGGGGAAUAUUGCACAAUGGGCGCAAGCCUGAUGCAGCCAUGCCGCGUGUAUGAAGAAGGCCUUCGGGUUGUAAAGUACUUUCAGCGGGGAGGAAGGGAGUAAAGUUAAUACCUUUGCUCAUUGACGUUACCCGCAGAAGAAGCACCGGCUAACUCCGUGCCAGCAGCCGCGGUAAUACGGAGGGUGCAAGCGUUAAUCGGAAUUACUGGGCGUAAAGCGCACGCAGGCGGUUUGUUAAGUCAGAUGUGAAAUCCCCGGGCUCAACCUGGGAACUGCAUCUGAUACUGGCAAGCUUGAGUCUCGUAGAGGGGGGUAGAAUUCCAGGUGAAGCGGUGAAAUGCGUAGAGAUCUGGAGGAAUACCGGUGGCGAAGGCGGCCCCCUGGACAAAGACUGACGCUCAGGUGCGAAAGCGUGGGGAGCAAACAGG